rnacentral:lncRNA from 1 species
CCCCCUGGAGCCUGGGCGCAGCUGGGUCUCAGGUUGCCUGCCCCGGUCACCCUCAGCAGGGGUGACAGCACCUUCAUGGUGCCUGUGUCCGUGUAGGUGCACGCACUCUGACCCGUGCAGCUGGGUGGCACGUGGGUGAGGAUGUGCCUGGAGGGUGGCAUGGGCACAGGAAAUGCCUGUACCUGCGGCCAGAAAUCACUUGUGGAUUGUGAAUUGUGAAUCCCUCGGGAGGAACGUCCAGGCAACUGGAUUUCAAAGACUCGGCAGAGGGACUAGUGCGGGCAUCCGGGGAGGAAGAGGAGGAGGCGGCUAGGGGAAUGCCCACUGGGCCUAGUCUUUGGGGCCGAGGCCUGGCGACUGGGUUCACAGUGAUCCCCCUCCCUGGGGAUAGCGGGCGGGGUACAGAGAGGAAGAGACUGUCGUCAGAGGCCCUUGUGGUUGAGGACAGGGGUUUUAGAGCUGACAGACCUGGGUUCAAAUCCUAGGUAUGGAUCACGGGCCAGUGCUUUCAUUUCUGUGAGCCUCAGGUCCCUGGUGUAUAAAAUAGGGAGCAGGGUAGAGCCUACUUCCUAGGGGUUUCUGGGAGUUAAGCCCCUUGGCAAGGACUAGGCAUUAUUGUUGAUAUUAUUGGUAGCAGCCCAGCAGAAGAGAGGGAGAGGGCCUCUGCAGGUGCUGGUGUUUUGUAAACUGUAAAAGGGAGCUCUGAGAAACGAAAACUGUGGAGCCACGGUUAGCUAAAGCUGCCAUGAGGAGCGCCAUUUUGGUCCAAGAUGGGAGGGCCGUUGUCCCAGGGAGUGAGGCAGAGGAGUUAGGCUUUCGGAACGCCUACCAGUUUCCCUUCCUGGUUCCCCUCACUUCCUCCAGAUUUUCCUUCCCGGUUACAGAGCCUGUCUGGCAAGAAGACCUCCGGGGGCUUCCUCUCCGCUGCUGGUCGCCGGCUGAGCGCCCCUUUGGGGACCGUGAGGAGCAGCUGCGGGAUCAGGGGGCCGAGGCUCCAGAGGCCAGGUCUGAGCAGGACUUGGGAGUUAUACCAUCCUAGAUGUAGGCACAAGGCCCUGGUCCUCUGCUAACUAGCUCUGGGGUCUUAUGCAAGUUUCUCGGCUUCUCUGAGCUUCCGUGUCUUCAUCUGUCAGACGGAAAGAGGAAAAUCACGACGACCUUCAGGGUACUUGGAGGAUUAGGUGAGCGUCUACGUGUUAAGUCCUGAGCUCAGGGCCUGGUUCACAGUAAGUGCUCAAUAAAUGCUCAUGGACGUAAGCA